AGUGAACGCUGGCGGUAGGCCUAACACAUGCAAGUCGAACGGCAGCACAGUAAGAGCUUGCUCUUACGGGUGGCGAGUGGCGUACGGGUGAGGAAUACAUCGGAAUCUACUUUUUCGUGGGGGAUAACGUAGGGAAACUUACGCUAAUACCGCAUACGACCUACGGGUGAAAGCAGGGGAUCUUCGGACCUUGCGCGAUUGAAUGAGCCGAUGUCGGAUUAGCUAGUUGGCGGGGUAAAGGCCCACCAAGGCGACGAUCCGUUGCUGGUCUGAGAGGAUGAUCAGCCACACUGGAACUGAGACACGGUCCAGACUCCUACGGGAGGCAGCAGUGGGGAAUAUUGGACAAUGGGCGCAAGCCUGAUCCAGCCAUACCGCGUGGGUGAAGAAGGCCUUCGGGUUGUAAAGCCCUUUUGUUGGGAAAGAAAAGCAGCAGGUUAAUACCCCGCUGUUCUGACGGUACCCAAAGAAUAAGCACCGGCUAACUUCGUG
rnacentral:rRNA from 1 species